rnacentral:rRNA from 1 species
GUCUACGGCCAUGCCACCCUGAACAAGACCUAUCCCGUCUGAUCUCAGAAGCUAAGCAGGGCCGGGCCUGGUUAGUACUUGGAUGGGAGACCACCUAGGAAGGUGCUGUGCUGUUGAUG